rnacentral:rRNA from 1 species
GACGAACCGUGCGAACGUUAUUCGGAAUCACUGGGCUUAAAGCGCGUGUAGGCGGGACGGCACGUCGGUCGCUGAAAGCCCCCGGCUCAACCGGGGAACGGGCGCCGAUACGACCGUCCUGGAGGGACGUAGGGGGACCUGGAACUUCCGGUGGAGCGGUGAAAUGCGUUGAGAUCGGAAGGAACGCCCGUGGCGAAAGCGGCGCACUGGACCACAACUGACGCUGAGGCGCGAAAGCUAGGGGAGCAAACAGG